GCUCCAAGAGGAGACCGCAGGUCAGCGAGAAUUGAAAACGCGUCUACUGGACCAGGUCUCCUGUUCAUCUUAUUUCCCCAUCACUCACAGCACUCACUCCCCAGCUAUUAAAACAGCAAAGAAAAAAAGAAAGAAAGAAAGAAAUGUGGGAAGAAUAAGACAGUAGGGUUAGGUUCGGGGAGAAGGGCUUCAGCAAAACACAGUUGCAUCGCUCAGCCCUGGAAACUCAUCCCGUCAUCCCCACACUCUCUCUAGGGAAUUGGGCCCCACUUCAGAGAUUCAGAAACAAAAAUUGUAGCGUCGAGAUCGUUAAAGCCGAGUCUACUUCUUUCGCCGGUUGGGCCUCAGAGCCCCAAAGCCGCCCAGCUAGACAGAGCGACUGCACGGCGGGCCAGCGCGGGCCCCCAGCUCGAGGCUUCCGGUGGACACCGGGAAAGUGAGCGGCCUGCCCGUCCAGACAUCAGAGGUCGGCCGCACUCCGAACCGUGCCUACAGGCGGGUCCGCAGAAGGGGGGCCGCUCCCCGCGGUCGCCCGGUCGGGUCGCGCCGGUCCUUUCUCAGGAUGACCGCGUUCCUUCCGCCCAGAGAGGGCAAAGAGUCCCGCUCCCUCGUGUGCACCUCCCGCCCGCGCUCCGGAGCGCCCCCUAGGAAGAAAGCUAGAGCGGCAGCCACGCCUCGGUGGCGAUUUUAUUAGCGAUCCGUUGGGGUGGCCCGGCUGCCGGCGAGCGGGGUUUCCCCGCCCCUCCCCCCUUCCCCUCCCCCCAGGCGGCCGGAACCUCCCUGCGGAGCGGAGUGAUACCGGCGGCGGCGUAGAGCGCGGCGCGGCCUGGGGCGCCCGGGACUGCGCGGGGCGGGCGGCGGCGGAGGGAGGAGGGGAGAGAGGCGGGGCCGGGGCGGGUUGUUGUGAGGCGACUGCGCUACUGCCGGAGCGGGGCGGUUAUGGCGGCUCCAUAUUAACAGCCUCCUCCUCCUCCGCCGCCGCCGUCUCCUCCUCCUCCUUUCCCUCCCGCCAGCUCUCUAAGCCAUCUCCCCCUUCACCCUGACGCCUACCUCUUCCCCUCACCUUUCCCCCUCCCCUGUUCUACCAUGCCCGGCAUGAUGGAGAAAGGGCCCGAGUUGCUGGGGAAGAACCGAUCGGCCAACGGCAGCGCCAAGAGCCCGGCAGGCGGCGGCGGCAGCGGCGCCUCGUCCACCAACGGCGGGCUGCACUACUCGGAGCCCGAGAGCGGCUGCAGCAGCGACGACGAGCACGAUGUUGGGAUGAGAGUCGGAGCCGAAUACCAAGCUCGGAUCCCUGAAUUUGAUCCAGGUAGAUACAUUUGCUUAAGCAAAAUCUUAUCUUCCCUUUCCUGGGCUUGGUUUGGGGUGGACGGGCUAGGGGUCCGGGCGUGGGGCCGGGAGGGGAUGUGGGGUUGGGCUGGGCAGGCAUCCGUGGUGGGGAGGCUGUCAGGCUUGGCCGGGCUGUGACACUGGGCGUGUGGGCAGAUGUGUGCACUGCAAGGUUAACAUGGUUCCCUUCGGAGGCCACUUGCCCGCUGGUGGCAUCGCCUUCCUGACCCUUGAGCUGGAGCGGGGUCGGGGUGAGCAGAGGGAGACGACCCUUGGCGGAGUCCAGGGUCCGAGGCCGCGGGCUGGAGGAGCGGGCGUGCAGACUGUGUGGACGAACCGUGCAAAUGUCAAUUGCCACCUCGCUCGCCUCGGCACCGGGGCGGGCGGCGGAGGCCAGGGCGGCUGUCACCGGCCGGGGAAGCCAAGGGCGAGCCCUGCCGACCCGCGCGCAGCGGGGAUUGUCUCUUUUCUUUCUUUUU